ensembl:lncRNA
CUUCAGGUAGCCGACACAGCGCUGGGGAACCCUCAACACGUACCCCUCUCUCCACUCUCUGCUCCAGAUGCAGCUGCCACUGCUAACGCCGCCGGCGACUAAAAACAAACAACCCGGCAAGAAGCGUGCUAUUCGGCCUACCACUUCUGGUCCGGCCAAGCGUGCGAGGAAGAAUGCCGAUCAUCCCGGUCCCCGAGGGAGACCAGUAGCAAUAUGGGGCUGGGGGUCGAAGAAGACGGGAUUGCAGAAUACCCAGUCGAAGACCAGGGUUCAGAGGCAGCAGCAGGGACAGCGAAUAACCUAGGAGAAGAUCGAACCUGUACAAGCUGUGAGGAGCCGGAGGCUGCUGCUGCCUCUGAACCCAUUCCACCACCACCACCAACUGCUGCGGUCACCACAUCCCUAUUGCCCCAGGUCAUUUAACAUGAGAGAAAUUGCAUUUAUUUUAUGUUACACUUCGUUUAUGUAGUCAUGAGGGUCCCUAAUGCGUGAAUGGUAUGUUAUGAGUAUGACUAGUUAUGUACUCAUAGCCUUUCAUGUUGAAUGUAUUUUUGUCUGUUACCUGACCCAAAAAUGUUGUUUCCAUUUGAAACAGUGAGGACACAGAAAAGAAGGAGAGUGGGGGGAGGGAGAGAUAGAGAAGUGCCUCCUGGAGGUGUUGAGGAGGCAGCCUCCACCUGCUCCAGUGCCUCCGCCUCCUCCUCCUCCAGCGCCUCUCUCCGAGGACGAGACAAACUUUUUUUGAAAGGGAUACUUCCUUCCCUGCAACGAUUGCCAAACCAUGCCAAAGAACACAUGAAAUUUCAAAUUUAUAAAUGAUUGCAUGACCCUAACAGUUACUAUAAUCCAGAACUGCUCAAUUUAGACAAUCAAUUUGGACCAUUCGGUGAAUUGGUUCACUGGGGUGACAAUCGUUGCAGGGAAUGAUCCAUGCCCAUUUUUUUUUGUUUACACACGCACACACACACACACACACACACACACACACACACACACACACACACACACACACACACACACACACACACACACGCCACAAUAAAUGAUUAUUUCUAUUAAAAAAAUGUGGCUUCAUUGAAUGGCCAUUUAAGUUGCUUGAGGGAUAUGUUGCAAAUUAUUUUGUGCCACUGAUUUUAGGGUCCAAGCAACUUUGCUUAAGGAAUUUUUUGUCAGUUAUGUUGUGCCCUGCUCGUUGAAGAGCACAACCAAGAACGGGAGGUCCAUACAGCGACAGUCAAAUGUACGUCACAUUUAUUUAGUAACUCGAAAGAAACCACAAAUCAGUAUUCUGUAGUGUAGUGUGUUGUUUACAAACUAAACUAUGAGUAUGCAAACAAAGGCUAAAGGGCUACAAUAACAACCCCAAACCAAACCCAGUUGGGUGCCGGGCAGCACCAGCAUUCCAGGCAUGGACAAUGGAUUAAAAAAUGGCGCCUAUUCAUUCCUAUGUAAACUGCUCAAUGGCGCAGGGCAACAUCAAGGAGAGAUAUGCUUCCGCAUCGUGGGUCUAUGGCCACGCCCUACUUCAUGACGUACCGGAUGCAGAAAUAUUCUUGUUUUUUUAGCAUUGUUAGCAUUGUAGCAUCAUAAGCGAGAGGUCUGGGCAAUAGCAGUCGCAUUUACCGACCAUGGAAGUAAUCCCCCGAUGAUUCUCUAUAUGUUUAACAAUUAUUAUUUUAGAUUAGUUUGCCCCUUUUUAACUUUAUAAGAAAAGCACCUUGUAUAUACCUUUUUGAAUGUUAAAACAGAAAUAAUAAUUACCACUCAUUUUUUUUAUAUAUUUCUGUUUCUGAAACGAGAAUCAAAUGCCCAAUAUAUACACAGACCCAUCAGCCGGUGUACCCAGGGAACUCACAAGGUGUUAGGAAGCAAAGGAGUCUGAAAUGACCCCACAUGGUAUCAUGGAGCUAUUAUGUGUGGGUGCAAUAAAUAAGACAGAUAUGAUGGUGGCGGUGCCAGCCCCACGUCAGGUUUCAAAACCAAGUAAUACUGAAACUGAAUCUCAAACUUGAUCCUGAA